rnacentral:lncRNA from 1 species
CAACUUCCGGGUCGCCAGGCAAGGGGGUGUGGCUAGGGAAGGGGAGAGGCGAGCUAUGAUGUAAGCGGCGCGCGCCGAAGUGGGGCCAGCUAGCAGGCGUCGUGGCGGGGCCGCGCUUUUGGGCCGCGAGCUUGAGGUCCCGCUUCUCGACGGAUUCCUUCUGGCUCCGCGAAGGAACUUGCGUCCCUUCUCUAAGUCUUCGGAUAAAACCAAGACCUAGGCCUACAGAUGUAUGGGAGCAGGGCCAGGGAGAGAGAGACUUCGUUUUUCCCAUUCAUUCAUGCAUCCGACCAACACUGACUGAGCCUGCGUCGGGCGCGGUGCCUGGCUGGCGGUCCCAGGGUCACUAAGACGCAACCCGGCGCUGGAGGUGCUUGCGUCGAGCAGGGCCGGCACAGGAUUGCCAGUCGUGGCUGUCCUGUGCGGUGGAGCCACAGGGCUGUCGCGUCGUCCCUGUGCGUGGGUGGCCCAGUGUGUUGGAUAUGACCUGAGAGAUGACAGAUGUGAGAUGACACGACAGGGAGAUCUGAGGAGGUCCCCAGAGAACUGGGAACUGCGUGUCACCAGUCUAGAGAUUCGGAGACAGUUGGAUCUAUGGACCCAUGUCUUCCUUUUUCUUGUCGAACUCCCUUCUUUCACAGGAGCACACCAUUUUUAGUGGUUUCUUAAGAUGAGUACACUAGCUAAAAAGUUUAUGAGCCCUCAAAUACCUGAGUAUUUAUUCAACCCUCAAAUUUAAAUUCUGGCUUGUAUGGAAUUCUAGAUUGAAAAGAAUUUCUCCCCAGCAUUUUGAAGGCAGGCUUCAUUGUCUUCAGUUUUUCAGUGUGGUGAGAAGUGAUGCGUCAUUUUUUUCUCUCUGAAAGAUUUUAGGAUCUUCUCUUUAAAGUUCAGAAAUUUCAUGACGAUGGUACCUUGAAUUUAAGGAAAUUUCCCAGAACGAAGGAGCUUGAUGUUCCAAGUUGAAAGGGCCCACUUAAUGCCUGGCACUUUGGUGAAUGGGAAAAUGCCCGGACCAAGUCACCCCUAACCUACUAACAGGGUUUUCAGCAAUGGACAUGUUUCAAGACCUCACAGACGAGACUGGAGGCAGGCAAUUUCAGGGCUGGAACAGGGACUCUGAUCUCAUGAGGAAUCUUUGCAUCCUGUAUCAGCAAGUUUCCGUAUAACUGACGAAAGAUCUCUGACCCAGUCCUUCUCCAAUACAAAGGAAAGACGAUCAAGAGCGUGAAGGCCAGCUAGCGCAGAUGGGCGGGCCGCAGGUGGCUAGAGCAACCGGUGUACUCUCGGGGGAUGCAGCGAGAUGCGCCAUCUCUGACGGCAAACCGACCGACGAUGCCUACACGGGGCACCUGGUUCCUGUCCAGUAUGGCUAUAGAGUGUGCCCAAGAACCUCGGAGGCAAGAGAAACACGGUCAGUAUUCCUGAUCAUUUCCACUGCAGCAAGCGCUGCACUCCAGAGAUGGUUACCAUCCAGGAGUUCUGAAACGUAUGCAGUGUGCACAAAAGCCAGGGGUUUAGUUCAGACUCCUCUCCCCAUCUCCUGUGGCCACCCCCCUCAUCCAUUGGUUAAAGCUGAUUGUGUCCCGACUUCAGUGCCGGGGCAUUAUCGGGGCGGCUGCUGGAGGCCUGACGACUCAGACAGACUGCUGACCCUUCGGGGAGGACGUAGGGGCUGGGGCUGUGCUGGGGGUGGUUGGGGGUAGCCCAGGGUCCCUGGCUGUUGUGAGUAGGUGGAGAGAAGUAGCGAGUCCUGCUGCUCACUGUGCAAAGAGGUUGGUGCCUGUACCUAGAAAAAAAAGAACAAAGGGCUUCAGAGGUGGUUCUGAUGUCCGCUCCUCAACUGUCUUACAAGGCAGUGCGGGGCAUGCUGCAGGUUGAGUUAGACUACAGGGCUGUCUUUCUUGGGGGGUCAUGUGGGGAGAGGUGGCUCUGGCAAGACCUGGGGGUGUGGUGGGGAUGGGGACUAAGGGAACCUUAGGGUGAAUUCUGAAGCUAAGUUCUCCGCCAAUAGUGGGGGCACCUUCUGGCCCAAUCGACUGAGGCCUGUGGCUAUGGCUAUGGGGAAUGGUUUCGUAAACACGUGCACAUGAUCUACAUGUAGCCACAAUGUUUUUGGAUGAUGGAACCUGAGGCCACAUGCAGGUAGUUGACAGGGCAGAAUCCAAACACACAUACAGUUUGUACACUUUUCACUGCUGGUCCCUGAUCCCGUAGCUACCUCCAGAUUCACCAGCACCUACUAGGAGCAUCUUGAUUGGAAGUUUAGAAGCUUUGACUGACCAAAGCCUGACUUUGGAAACUUCAGUCUUAUCACCCACUAUUCCCUUCCAUGAAAUCUCCUCCUGCAAGUAACCCAGCACCCCCCUGCUCUCAAAGCUGCCCAGGCACAGCUGCCCUGAACUUUUGCUCAGGCUGUCUGGCUGGAACACUGUCCCUUUAUCUUCACCCUCACCCACAUUUCGGGCAUUUCCUGGACAUCAGACUCUGCAGUGGGUGCCUUCUGAGCCCUCCCUCUCCUCAAGUCCCUUCCUCCACAAAGGCUUCCCCACCACAGCACUCCCACUGUUCCCAAAUCCGAGCCUGACUGCAUUCUGUGCUAACCCACCUCUCUGCACCCCACCCCAAGCCCCUAAGGGCAGUGAGUGGGCCGAAGCGCUCUCUGUAUUCAUAGCCUGCAUCUUGUCUGCAACAGGUGCAUGCAAACUUGUCUGUUGCUCAUUUCCCAUCCAAAAUCACUUCUGGGUCUCGAGAACUGACAAGAUCUGCAAAGCCAAAGUCUGAGUUGACUCCCACUAUGUGUGGGGUCAGGGAGAUCUGAAAAUUAUAGCACAGAUGGCUUAGCGGCACUGGAAUUAAAUUACGUUCUAGAACUUCAAGGACAGCUAUCUUCAUCACUAUCUACAGUACUCAAGAGGUCUCAGCUACUGCUCAUUCUCCAUGGCUUUGCAGGUGCAGGUGGGGCUGCAGGCCAGGGAGGAAGCCCCCCCAGGACAGGGAAGGGCUGGGGUGAAGAGGGGCACCCUGCACAUGGGUGAGGGAAGGCCAGGCCCUUCUGCAGCUUGGCAGACGCAGACGUGUGGCUCCCACGUGAACCUGCGGACCAGUGGCUCUCACCCUCCCUGCUUUUGACAUACUUGGCACUUGCUUGAAGUAAUUUUUGCCUUCGAAGUAGUGACCACAUGUAAAUGAGCUCCAAAUUUUCCUGGCAAGCCCAAUUUCACACAUCACUGUAUUUAUGAAGGCAGGUUAAUGGAUCUUUAACUAAAUGUGAUUUAACUUUAUGUUUAUAUAGGACUUUAUAAACACACUGAAAAGUCCAACAUAGUCAUCAAUGUUUUUCGACUUUUGCUCUAAAAACUGUGAACAUAUCAAGAUGCAAAUCCUUGAGUAGAAACUACUUUUUUAAAAAAGAACCUUUUUAGCACAUAACCACAUAAGGCAUAAUAGCCGACUCGUAAUUUCAUGUACUCUGUAGACAUAGACUUCAUAAACUUUAAGCAUGAAAAACAGUGCUGGACUCACGGCUUUUAGAUCCUUUCAGUCUUUCUAUGACAUG